rnacentral:piRNA from 1 species
UUCGAUAGAAAUUCGUUUUUC